CCUACGGGAGGCAGCAGUGAGGAAUAUUGGUCAAUGGACGAGAGUCUGAACCAGCCAAGUAGCGUGAAGGAUGACUGCCCUAUGGGUUGUAAACUUCUUUUAUAUGGGAAUAAAAUGUGCCACGUGUGGGAUUUUGUAUGUACCAUAUGAAUAAGGAUCGGCUAACGCCGUGCCAGCAGCCGCGGUAAUACGGAGGAUCCGAGCGUUAUCCGGAUUUAUUGGGUUUAAAGGGAGCGUAGGUGGAUUGUUAAGUCAGUUGUGAAAGUUUGCGGCUCAACCGUAAAAUUGCAGUUGAAACUGGCAGUCUUGAGUACAGUAGAGGUGGGCGGAAUUCGUGGUGUAGCGGUGAAAUGCUUAGAUAUCACGAAGAACUCCGAUUGCGAAGGCAGUUCACUGGACUGCAACUGACACUGAGGCUCGAAAGUGUGGGUAUCAAACAGGAUUAGAUACCCGUGUAGUC
rnacentral:rRNA from 1 species